GAUGAACGCUGGCGGCGUGCCUAAUACAUGCCAGUCGAGCGAACGGACGAGAAGCUUGCUUCUCUGAUGUUAGCGGCGGACGGGUGAGUAACACGUGGAUAACCUACCUAUAAGACUGGGAUAACUUCGGGAAACCGGAGCUAAUACCGGAUAAUAUUUUGAACCGCAUGGUUCAACAGUGAAAGACGGUCUUGCUGUCACUUAUAGAUGGAUCCGCGCUGCAUUAGCUAGUUGGUAAGGUAACGGCUUACCAAGGCAACGAUGCAUAGCCGACCUGAGAGGGUGAUCGGCCACACUGGAACUGAGACACGGUCCAGACUCCUACGGGAGGCAGCAGUAGGGAAUCUUCCGCAAUGGGCGAAAGCCUGACGGAGCAACGCCGCGUGAGUGAUGAAGGUCUUCGGAUCGUAAAACUCUGUUAUUAGGGAAGAACAUAUGUGUAAGUAACUGUGCACAUCUUGACGGUACCUAAUCAGAAAGCCACGGCUAACUACGUG
rnacentral:rRNA from 1 species